UCCAUUGUUUACUGAAAACUUUAAAUUACAACUUAUUAGACUUUCAGGAGAGCAUAGUCUCAUAUAAAGCUAAAAAGAAGCUCUCU
rnacentral:ncRNA from 1 species